CAGCUGUUAACUGGUCAGCAUUGUACAUGCUCAUGCAAGGAGGUUAGGCAGGCCCACCAGGCAUGGGGCUUUGCUGUUGGGUCAUCACUGAGGAAGUAAUACUUUCGGGACUGCAAAUCAAAGCAGAGGAAUGAAUCAGAGAAGAACUGCAUGAUCAUAAACACACUCAAGUAACUCAGUCCAAUGCAUGCUUUGCCUCCUCUACCUCAUCACACAGAAAAAGGCAGAGCUCUCAUUAGUCUCCCAGUUUUAUAAUUCAUUGGGAUACCUGACUGUCGAAGUUCCCAUAUGUCUCUGAACUUAAUGUGUCCGAUGAAUCUUUGGUCAACAGCUGCAAGAGAAAAGAGAAUCAGUGUAGAAUCUAAUGACAUAUACACAUAAUUUUUAAACAGACAUAAAUUAAAACUAAGAGACUUUGUAAAUCUGGAGAAGACCAAGGCUAUUCUGGCAUCUGAACACUAUUCAUUUUAAUUAAAACUAUGGUGAAAUCA